AGUCUGGUCUUGUGGGGUUUAGGGGCUGGAAAUGGGGAAGAGCUAGAGCACAGCAUUUAGGAUUGAGUUUUAUACUAUUCGGUACUCCAAUUAUGAAAACAACGAUGAUGAUGCUUCUGACCUGCCCUGUUGGGCUGUUUCUUCCCCAUCCUUUUGAUGGGACCGCUGAGUUGCAGGAAAACAAGCUCAGGGCUCCCACUGAUUCUACGUUAUGGAGAAAUUUGGAUACAGAGACAGAUGCACACAGAGGGAAGAUGAUGGGAAGGGACACGGGGAGAAGAUGGUCAUCCCCAUGCCAAGGAAGGAGGCCUGGAACAAAUUCCCCUUCACAGCACUCAGAAGAAACCAGCCCUGCUGACACUUCGAGUUCAGACUUUUAGCUUCCAGAACUGUGAGACUAUACGGUUUUGUUGUUUAAGACCCCCGGUUUGUAGUACUUUGUUACAGCAGUCCUAGCCAAUGAAUACAGGUAACUUUGGGCUACUUCAUGAUGGCCCAGAUGUCUCUGAUCCUGUAGUGUGGUGCCCUAGCCUGGUCAACGCUUGGAGUUUUAUAACCCUCCAUAGCUUCAGUUUCUUCAUCUAUAAAAUAAUCAUGGAGCGUCUACUAGGUCUUGCAAUUAAUCUGGUAAAACCUUUUUCUUCAACAAACACCAAUAAAGAGGAUCAAAAAUAGCUUGCUUUUUUUUCAGGCUGGAGAGUGGCACAUAUCCACUGUUUUAUCUAGGGUUAGUUCCCAGGAAUAUCUCCUGUUCUCUGUUACAAUGAAGUCCAAAGGGCCUUGAUCAUAUUGACAUUCCGGAGAGCAUCAUUCAGUUCCUCAUAUUGAUUGAACUUAAUAAGUGGGAAGUGGCAAGUAGUUUGGACACUGUAGUAAAAAUACAUGUAUACCAGAGGGAGGGAGCUACAUCCCAAGGAGAUUCAGAUACUCUCCACAUUGGUCUAGUUUUUGGGUCCAACAGUCUGAGUCAUGCUGAGAAAUCCCAUCCAAGGUAAAGGACAAGUUGUACUUUGCUUCUCCUACCACUAAGAACAGGCACAGCACUAAAUAGGCUUCCUUGGAUUCUGGAGGCAGCAUAUACCAUACUUGGGACUAAUUCUCAACACAUUUAUUGAGUGACUCAGAAUGCUUCCAGCUUUCAGUGGGACCAGAGCAAGAGAAUCUGCAGCAGAUUCAGGCUGUGAUGCAGUGAAAAGUGUUCUGUCAUUCAGGACAUAUGACUCAUCAGAUCAGUAGUGCUAAAGAUAGCUAUGGCAGAUACAAAUUCUGUGUGGAGUCUCUGCCAAGGUUCAACAGAAGAGUCACAUCACAGACCCAAGGGUUCUGGAGUAAGGCCAUGCCAUCUAUGGCAGAGAGAUAGUUACCAUUUGCAAAGCAGCAUCUGGUGUAGUUCUGGGCCUUAGCAGAGGUGAAGUACCUGAGCAUGGGACAUAAAAUUACAGAUCAUGAGAUGGGUAUUAUCAGAUUCACCACUUCAUGAGAUCAGGCAAUCCAUUGUACAAUAGAAAUGGUACAUUUAGACUUGGAUCCAAGCAGACCCAAAAGGUACAAAUAAGUUUACAUGAAUAGAUUACACAGACCUUCAUGUUACCUAGCUCUAUUGCACAGAUUCCUCGACCUCAGUUCUCACCUAUGACCUCAUGGAGAUUCCCCUGCAAUCAACUGACAGAGGAAAGAAAAAUCUCCAGCCUGGCAUAGAGAUGGAUAUCUGAGUAAGUACAGCUAUCACAUUUCAGAAAUACUCAGAGGUAGUCCCAAAGGACAGUGCAAAAGGAAAAUCCUCCCAGUCAGCAAGACUUUCAGCAGUGUAAUUGGUCAUUCAGUUUAAAUAAAGCAAAAAACAGCUUGAGGUACAGACAUACACAGAACCUAGAGAAGUGAAAAAUGGCUUGGCUGGCUAGUAGGGAUCCUGGGAAGAGAAAGAUUGAAAGACCAGAUAAAAGAAAGUUUGCGAAAGAGUCAUGGAAAUGGGAGCAACACACCUGUAUCUUUGAAGAGGAGGCACUGAACAGGUAGGCAGGAUGAGUUGUCCUAUGGAUCUAAGCCAGCAUCUCCUCUCAGCCACCUCAGUACUUGGGCAAUGGGCCCAUGAGUGGCCAUUGUUGUAGGGAUGGUGCUAUCAAUGAGCCCAAGAUUAUGGCAUUCCUCUUGUUAUGGUUCUUCCAGCCACUGGCAUUCAUGAAUGCCCUUCCUGACAGCUACAGAGACUGACACUAGGCACUUGCUAUGGCACUAUUAUUGUAAUGAAACCAGCCAGCCACAAGGUAGCAUUUAUUAUUGAUCACGUGAUUACUAUAUUACUAGAAGGGGAGGUUUGGAUCAUAAUCUUGCAAGACACAGUCUGGAACGCUGUAAUCCCAAAUGUUGAAAUCACGAAAAAUCAAAAUCCCUAAAGUCUAAAAUCCCUGAUGCCUAAAAUUCUGAAGAUCACAAUCACAGAAUAGUUGCAUCAUGUUAGAACUAUUACCUUGUUGUUGUCUUUAUUUGGAAAUUAAGUACGGCUUAAGAAGAUGUCUAUGGGUGCCAAGUUAACAAGGGGCAGAUUUGUGGGCUUCAUUUUAGGUGUCAACUUGACUGGAUUGGAAAAUACAGAGAAACCUGGUAAAGCAUUAUUUCGGGUGUUGCUGUUCAAUCACCAGUAUUGUUUGCACCAAAUUUGUGACCUGUAUAUGAAUGCAUGCAGUAUGGACUUCCAAGUACCCAAAACAACACAGAAGCAUGACACAGAAUAUUGGACAAUUUAAUAGGGAACGUUCAUGUCGGUGACUCAUAGAAAAAGUUCAGAGCCAUGCCACGUAGAAAAUGAAUAUGAAUGUAUUCUCCAAGAAGAGCCAUAUCCAAAAAGAAAAAUAGCAGCUAUUCAUCAUGAUGCAAGAUUUCAACAUAUAGUUGAUGAUCGUGAAAGUUAGCUAGGUCUUAUGAAUGAUCGCCAUGCAAAUGCCCAUAAUCUAUUCCUGUAAUAUACUUUUUCAUAUGUUAAAUUUUCUUUUUAUGUUGUUUCUUUUCUUUUUUAGCUUUUUUUCACUACUUUAAAUUGUGAACAUUAUUUUUUACAAUUUUUUAUGCUAUGUGUUUCAUCUUCGCGUCAUUUCUGAUAUGGGAGGUAGACAUUGUGUAGAGAUUUUUUGAGAGUUCUAAUUUGUCUUACGCAUUAUUACAAACUUGACCUCAUAAAAGUUCAUUAUCACAACUUUGUGUGUGAGCAUUAUGUGUAUACAUAAAAACAUUGAAACUUUCUCAAUAAAUUAAGGGACCUUCUUUUCGUACAUCUGCAUUUGUGAAAGAUGAAAUUUCUCGAAACCUCAGCUCUUUGGGUAACCCCAUAUGCAGUGGUGACCCAUGGCGAUUUUUGAUUGAUCUUGUCAAAAGACUUAGGUUGUUCAUCACAGUACUUCAGAUGACCACAAUUAUAAAGCUGAGUGCACACAAUUACCAACCAUAGUGACAUUUGUUUAUACAUUUCCCUUUUUGACCUAUUUCUUUACCAUACAGUUUACCUACUCAUACCUGUUAUAUCUGUGUGACUGUCAUUAGCAUACCUGAGUAUUUAUGCUUGCAAAAAUAUGUGUGUUAUUAUUGUCCAUUUUAUUGCUUAAAGUGGCCCAUGAAAUGUUCAGAUGUGUUUUUAUGUGUUUCUUAAAUAAAUCCC
rnacentral:lncRNA from 1 species